GUAAGGAAUAUUGGUCAAUGGGCGGAAGCCUGAACCAGCCAUGCCGCGUGCAGGACGACGGCCCUAUGGGUUGUAAACUGCUUUUAUACGGGAAUAAACCUUCGUUCGUGAACGAAGCUGAAUGUACUGUAAGAAUAAGGAUCGGCUAACUCCGUGCCAGCAGCCGCGGUAAUACGGAGGAUCCAAGCGUUAUCCGGAUUUAUUGGGUUUAAAGGGUGCGUAGGUGGCCUGGUAAGUCAGGGGUGAAAGACGGUAGCUUAACUAUCGCAGUGCCUUUGAUACUGCCGGGCUUGAAUGAACUAGAGGUAGGCGGAAUGUGACAAGUAGCGGUGAAAUGCAUAGAUAUGUCACAGAACACCGAUUGCGAAGGCAGCUUACUAUGGUUUUAUUGACACUGAGGCACGAAAGCGUGGGGAUCAAACAGG
rnacentral:rRNA from 1 species